GAUGAACGCUGGCGGCGUGCCUAAUACAUGCAAGUCGAGCGAACGGACGAGAAGCUUGCUUCUCUGAUGUUAGCGGCGGACGGGUGAGUAACACGUGGAUACCCUACCUUUACGACUGGGAUAACUUCGGGAAACCGGAGCUAAUCCCGGAUAAUAUUUUGAACCGCAUGGUUCAAAAGUUAAAGACGGUCUUGCUGUCACUUAUAGAUGGAUCCGCGCUGCAUUAGCUAGUUGGUAAGGUAACGGCUUACCAAGGCAACGAUGAAUAGCCGACCUGAGAGGGUGAUCGGCAACACUGGAACUGAGACACGGUCCAGACUCCUACGGGAGGCAGCAGUAGGGAAUCUUCCGCAAUGGGCGAAAGCCUGACGGAGCAACGCCGCGUGAGUGAUGAAGGUCUUCGGAUCGUAAAACUCUGUUAUUAGGGAAGAACAUAUGUGUAAGUAAAUGUGCACAUCGUGACGGUACCUAAUCAGAAAGCCACGGCUAACUACGUG
rnacentral:rRNA from 1 species